AAAAGCUUAGUUUAUUGAAAACACUUGCUUGUCAAGCAUGAAAAGAGCCCCCGGCCCAGUUUUUA
rnacentral:tRNA from 1 species